UGGUUAUAUCAUAUUGAAACAUUGGUUCCUGUAUGAUCACUGAAGUUAAGCAACAUCAAGCAUGGCCAGUACCUAGAUGGGUGACUAAUUGGGAAUACCAGGUGCUGUAAG